rnacentral:rRNA from 1 species
UACAGAGGUCUCAAGCGUUGUUCGGAAUCACUGGGCGUAAAGGGUGCGUAGGCCGCACGGUAAGUCAGAGGUGAAAUCCCGGAGCUCAACUUCGGAAUUGCCUCCGAUACUGCCGUGCUUGAGGACUGGAGAGGAGAUUGGAAUUCACAGUGGAGCAGUGAAAUGCGUAGAUAUUGUGAGGAACACUAGGUGGCGAAGGCGAAUCUCUGGACAGUUCCUGACGGCUGAGGCACGAAGGCCAGGGGAGCAAACGGG